CCUACGGGUGGCAGCAGUGAGGAAUAUUGGUCAAUGGGCGCGAGCCUGAACCAGCCAAGUAGCGUGAAGGAUGACUGCCCUACGGGUUGUAAACUUUUUUGAUAGAGGAAUAAAGUGAGGCACGUGUGCCUUAUAGUAUGUACUUUAUGAAUAAGGACCGGCUAACUCCGUGACAGCAGCCGAGGUAAUACGGAGGAGGCGAGCGUUAGCCGGAUUUAUUGGGUGUAAAGGGACAGUAGAUGGGUUGGUAAGUCAGUAGUGAAAGUUUGCGGCUCAACCGUAAAAUUGCAAUUGAGACUGGAAGUCUUGAGUACGGGUGAGGUAGGCGGAAUUCGUGGUGUAGCGGUGAAAUGCUUAGAUAUCACGAGGAACACCGAUGGCGAAGGCGGCUUGCUAGACUGCCACUGACGUUGAUGCUCGAAAGCGUGGGGAGCAAACAGGAUUAGAUACCCCGGUAGUC
rnacentral:rRNA from 1 species